AUGGCGGCGCCGGCGAUGUUUCCUAAGGCGACGAGGAAAGCCUCCGUGGGCGGCCGGGCGUGGCGGCUGCUGCGGCUGGCCGUGCUCUGGGCGCGGAAGGGGAGCGCGGCGCAGAGCCUCCGCCUGCUCAAGACGCUGCGGCACAGCCGCGUCGGCGGCCGGCGCAACGACCGGCUGCACUACGGCGAGCGGGAGUUCUCCAUCGACGAGACGCCGGCGUUCCGGUUCCGCACCCCCUCCGCGCGCGUGCUCCGGUUCAUUCCCUGCAUCGCGCCCUCCGUCCCGGACACCCCCGGCGUCUACGGCGACGACCGCUACUUCUUCCGCGACGACCGCGAGAGGGACGCGAGCUGCGCCGGGGACUUGUACGAUGACCAGCCGAGCGAGUGCGGCCUGGAGAGCCUCGACGAUGGCGCGGAUGAGCAGCUGCUCGAGCGCGCGAUGAUGGAGGCGAGCGUCGGCUCGGCGGGAGCCGCGGAGGGCGGCGAGGAUGCCGGGGUGGACGUGAAGGCGGACGAGUUCAUCGCAAAGUUCUACGCGCAGAUGAAGCUGCAACGGCAAAUCUCGUGGCUGCAAUACAACGAGAUGAUGGAAAGGAGCGUCUGCUAG
rnacentral:rRNA from 1 species